UCAGCCAUCUCGAAAUUAAUCCAACUCAAUAUGUCACUCAAUCCUGUGGAUUCACAGCCAUCCACUUCUGCUCAAGCCCCUCAGCCUUCUCAAACUCGUCCUCGAUUGCCUGACAUCUCAAUUCCCACCUUCUCAGGCGACUUCUCAAAAUGGCCUGCCUUCCGAGACCUUUUUCAAUCACUCGUGAUCAAUAGCACCUCAAUUUCUGACAUUGAAAGGUUACAUUACCUUCGGACAUGUCUCUCUCAAGAACCUCUCGACACCAUCUCUAGUCUUCCCUUAACGGAAGUCUCUUUCCCCAUAGCCUGGAAGAAGCUUAUGGACAAAUAUGAAAACAAAAGGCUGCUCCUCUCUUCUCAAUACGCAAAACUUCUCUCCUUCUCAUUGGCGAAUCAGAAAAAUUCUACCGCCUCAUCUCUUCGUCAAUUUAUUGACAGCAUCGUCAAUCCUCUCCAAAGUUUGAAAGCUCUAGUUGAAGAUCUAGAGCAGAACAACAAUCUUUUGGUGUUCCAUAUCAUCAACCGUAUGGAUCACGCCUCUCGAACACAUUGGGAAACUCUCAUCUCCUCUAAUAACGAAUUUCCCUCCUUCGCUCAGUUGAUGGAGUUCCUCCAAUCUCGCUCCAGAGCUCUAGAAUGGACUGAGUCCAACCAGAGACAGUCACCUCAAGAAUCAUCUCGCUCUCGCACAACAGUGCACACAAUCUCUCAAAAGGUUACUGCUCCAAUUAAACCUUCUCCUUCACUCAUCUCAAGCAAAUCGGCCUCCUCGAACACUCCAAUCUCAAAAGUCUCUUCUAUGCCCAGCUACACCUGUGAUGAUUGUGGACACGACCACUUUAUUGCAGAUUGCCCUCGCUUCUCCAAACGCUCACCUCAAGAAAAAGCUGAUGUAGUAUUACAUCGCAUCCUCUGCUCUAACUGCCUCGGUAGACAUCAUCGCCACUCUUGCAGAACGACAAAGAUCUGCAAAAUCUGAGGAAGUCGUCAUCACACUCUUUUACAUGAUGCUCCUCUCAGCAGUAAACCACACUGCAAAAUUCCACCGGUACCCCCUCGAGUGCUUCCACAAUACGCUCUCACAUCUCAAAAAUCUGCUCAAAGGGAGCUACCUCAACCACGACUCAACACUCUCCUCGCCACUGCCAUCGCCCAUCUCAUCACCUCAACAGGAUCACACACGGUUCGACUACUCAUCGACAGUGGAUCCGAGCUGACCUUCAUCUCUCAAGAUCUAGCCAGAAAACUCAACAUCUCUAGAAGGAAGUCGCAUGUUGUAAUUGUGGGAAUUCAUGGAAAGACUUCUAAGACACAAGGAUCUCUUGCCCUCACUCUCAAGUCGACGUAUGACCAUCAAACCAUAAAUAUUGAUGCUCACAUUCUUUUAUCAUCUUUCUCUAAUUUGA